GAUGAACGCUGGCGGCGUGCUUAACACAUGCAAGUCGAACGGUGAAGGCGGAGCUUUCUCUGCUGGAUCAGUGGCGAACGCGUGUGUAUCACGUGUGCAAUCUGCCCCUGACUCUCUGAUAUGCCCUGGAAACGGCGUCUAAUACUCGAUACGAUCUGCUAAUGCAUCUUCAUCAGCUGUUAAGAAUGUCGGUAGGGGAUGGGCUCGCGGCCUCUCAGCUUGUUGGUGAGGUAAUGGCUCACCAAGGGUUCGACGGGUAGCCGGCCUGGGAGGGUGAACGGGGACAAUGGGACUGAGAGAGGGCGCAGACGGCAACGGGAGGCAGCAGUGGGGAAUAUUGCAGAAUGGGGGAAAGCGAGAUGCAGAAACGCCGCGAGAGGGAAGAAGGGCUACGGGUUGUAAACAAAUGUGAGAAGGGAAGAAGAGAAAGUGACGGUACCUGAAGAAAAAGCGACGGCUAACUACGUG
rnacentral:rRNA from 1 species